CCUGGGGCCGCUCUAAGCGGAGGGGAGUGAAAGGGGGAGGGGAGGAGGAGUGGGAGAUGGAACAGAGAAAAAGGGAGGAUUAAUUCGCUACUCGGAUACCAGGGCCAAGGACUGAAGCGUCUUCCUGCUUAUCCCCUCCCCUCCUCCAUCAGGCGUCAUCCAAGGGAGUUGCCUUGGGACAUCCAAGGUGGGGGAGGGGGUGCGGGGACGCUGAGGGCCCGGGAGUGGGAAGCGCAAGGGUGUUUGAGGAGCAAGGAUGUGCGAGGCUCCUUACAGACCCCAGUGGGCUGCGUUCUGGAAGACACCCCAUGGCUGACCCUCUCCAGGUCCCGCCUGAGCCCCUGCAAGGGUUCUGCCAGCGCCGGCUCAACAGCGGCACCUGCUGUCCGGGGCCCUCCCUGCGGGGCGGAGCUCCCCCUCCGCCCUGGGAGCCCAGCGGGAUUUCCUCCUCUGUGGACCACAUAGGAAAGAUACUUCCUGCCAAGCAAACCAAAUGUAUUAGGCUGUGAGCAGCCUGAGGACAGAGACUCUUCUCAUCAGCCUCAGAACCUUCAGGAGUGAGCACAGUCCCGAGCACAGAGCUAGUGCUAAGUAAAGGCUUGUUAAAUGGAAAGAGAGCCACUGAAGACAUCGGGGACUAUAUUCUUUAAAUAGAGAGACAGAGUGAAAGAAAGAGAGGAAGGAAGGAAGAAGAAAAGAAAAAGAGAGGUCCUAGGUAAUCUCAAGGGCAAGGACCCAAGGGCAAGACUGUGGUUUGCUCUGGCUGGAGCGGAGGGCAGUGGGCACACAGUGUCACCUUCUUAACACGCCCAAGGAGCAUCUUGUUUUGUCUGACCUUAUGGGUCCCUGGCUGGGACAUGAAAUAAGUGAUCACAUCUCUCACCCACCAGAGGUGCUUGUGACCUUGGCAGAAGAGAGGUUUAAAUCGAGUCAGCCUGGGGGAAGGGGCUGGUUCAUUCCAGGGCCUUCCUUCAGAUUAGAUAAAUUUUCCAGCUCCUGCUUAAACUUCAGUGGUUCUGAAUCUGAGAAGGAGGGCAGAAGGAAGAGGAAGCUAUAGGGGAGGGGACAUAUAUG
ensembl:lncRNA